GUACAGCAACACACAGCCACUAUGGAUCACUGGUCUGUCUCCUGCAGUUUCUCUGAUCAUCAGUCCCAGCAGAACUCAACACUUUAGUGGUGACUCUCUCUCACUGAGCUGUGAGGGACAGAGUGACUCUCCUGGAUGGAGAGUGAGAGGAUACACACACAGUGGGAGGGUGUCAGAUUGUUCAUCUUUCAGGGGAUCAGUUACAGGAUCUACAUGCACCAUCAGAUACCUCCACACAUCCCACACUGGAGUGUACUGGUGUCAGUCUGAAUCUGGAGGGAGCAGCAAUCCUGUUAACAUCACAGUGCACAAUGGUGAUGUGAUUCUGGAGAGUUCUGUCCAUCCUGUGACUGAGGGAGAUCCUCUGACUCUACACUGUUUACUUCACCCCACUAUCACAUCACACCUCAGAGCUGAUUUAUAUAAAGAUGGAUCACUCAUCCAGACCCAGACUGAAGGAGAAAUCACCAUCCGUACUGUCUCAAAGUCAGAUGAGGGUGUCUACUACUGUAAACACCCAGAGAGAGGAGAGUCACUACACAGCUGGGUCUCAG